AUUGAACGCUGGCGGCAGGCCUAACACAUGCAAGUCGAGCGGAAACGAGUUAACUGAACCUUCGGGGAACGUUAACGGCGUCGAGCGGCGGACGGGUGAGUAAUGCCUGGGAAAUUGCCCUGAUGUGGGGGAUAACCAUUGGAAACGAUGGCUAAUACCGCAUAAUAGCUUCGGCUCAAAGAGGGGGACCUUCGGGCCUCUCGCGUCAGGAUAUGCCCAGGUGGGAUUAGCUAGUUGGUGAGGUAAUGGCUCACCAAGGCGACGAUCCCUAGCUGGUCUGAGAGGAUGAUCAGCCACACUGGGAACUGAGACACGGGUCCAGACUCCUACGGGAGCAGCAGUGGGGAAUAUUGCACAAUGGGCGCAAGCCUGAUGCAGCCAUGCCGCGUGUAUGAAGAAGGCCUUCGGGUUGUAAGUACUUUCAGCAGUGAGGAAGGGGGUUAAUAGC
rnacentral:rRNA from 1 species